rnacentral:rRNA from 1 species
ACUGGUUUCGAUCAGUGGAGAGUGGCGCACGGGUGAGUAACACGUAGCUUACCUGCCCCCAAGACCGGGAUAACGCCCCGAAAGGGGUGCUAAUACCGGAUAAGCUCACGGGCAACAGCAAACCGUGAGAAAAGGUUACGGCGCUUGGGGAUGGGGCUGCGGCCCAUCAGGUAGUUGGUGUGGUAACGGCGCACCAAGCCGAAGACGGGUAGGGGGCCUGAGAGGGUGACCCCCCACACUGGGACUGAGACACGGCCCAGACUCCUACGGGAGGCAGCAGUGAGGAAUAUUGCUCAAUGGGCGCAAGCCUGAAGCAGCAACGCCGCGUGGGUGAAGAGGGGUUUCGGCUCGUAAAGCCCUUUUCCAGGUGACGAGAGAGGACGGUAGCCUGGGAAUAAGCGUCGGCUAACUACGUGCCAGCAGCCGCGGUAAAACGUAGGACGCAAGCGUUAUCCGGAAUUACUGGGCGUAAAGCGCGUGUAGGCGGAAUGUUAAGUCAGUCGUGAAAGCUCCCGGCUAAACUGGGAGAGGUCGUCUGAAACUGGCAAUCUUGAGUACGGCAGAGGGAUAUGGAAUUCCGGGUGUAGUGGUGAAAUGCGUAGAUAUCCGGAGGAACACCAGUGGCGAAGGCGGUAUCCUGGGCCGAGACUGACGCUGAGACGCGAAAGCAUGGGUAGCGAACGGGAUUAGAAACCCCGGUAGUCCAUGCCGUAAACGAUGUGUACUAUGUGUUCGUGUGCCUACGGGUAUGGGAGUGCCGCAGCCAACGCGAUAAGUACACCGCCUGGGGACUACGGUCGCAAGGCUAAAACUCAAAGGAAUUGACUGGGGCCCGCACAAGCAGCGGAGCGUGUGGUUUAAUUCGAGGCUACACGAAGAAUCCUUACCUGGUCUUGACAUCCCACGAACAAACCGGAAACGGUGCGUUCUCGGGACGUGGAGACAGUGCUGCAUGCUGUCGUCAGCUCGUGUCGUGA